AAACCUUCCGAAGGGAUGUGCCGGGCGUCACCAUAACGGGAGCUUCACAAGGUCCGGGGAAAAGUCUAGGGAAAGUCCCGCAGUGGUCAAAACGGCAAACCGGCGGCAAGACCUUUCCCAGACAAGUAAUGUCUGGAUGUGCUAAGGGAAAGGUGGGCAGGGGAAGUGCCGGGCGCCACCGUCACUGACUGCUUCACAUCCAGGAGACGGUACUAGUGGUCCUGCCGGAAGGCGUCUUGGUGCCUCUUGAAGUGGGUUUCCUUGGAAGUCUUGAUCAGUUUCUAGAGAAUGUUAAUCAUCUCUGCAAUGACCCAAUGGACAUAAGGACGCGUGAAAGGAAGACAUUCCGAAACUGUAUUUCUACAAUCUCUACAACGACUUGAUGUCUGUAUCAUUUGUGACAAGUUGAUACUUACGUACAGCCUGGUCCUGUUGAAAUGGAGGAAUCAACUGGAAGACAAGGACUAACAGGUUCAACUGAUCAUGACAUCAAGUAACUGACUGAUGAGGGUGGUCCAGUGUCAAGUCUGCAGCCAGAAAGACGGGUGGUCGUCUGUCAGAGGAUCUGGUGUUAGGCAAGCCAAGAAUGAUAAGUUUUGCAUGUUUCAUGAGAAGGCGAUCGAAAGCUUUCUUGAACUCAUAAGUAGUACGUGUCGACUGUCUGGACAGUUCUUUCGUACUUGUAAUGUAACUGUAUACUUAAGACUGUUUAGAGAGUGGUAGUAGAUUGAGAGCGUAAAAAAUUAUGCAGAAUUGGGCUGGGUCUUUGGCAUGAUGGAAAGUUGCUGAUUUGUGAUUUUUCUUCAUUUCUUAAAUAUCUUAAACUGAAUGUGCGAUCUGUCUGCCUGAGGUAUUGUCGGCAGGGAAACUUACAAUCUCUUGGUCGGUGGUAAGGUGCUUGAGUAUGUUUUGUUGAUAUCCUGAGUGAUGAUGUUGGUGGAGGGUUGGGGCGUUUUGUGAGUGGCGGCUUCUUUGACAGACAGGGCUUUGGUCGGUUUCUGCAGUGUACAGGCCCGAUGUUUGGCUGCUUCGGUUUCUGUGAUUAUGUUAAUGGCC